UUUCGUUUCUCAUAUAAUUUCAUAGUUAAAGAGAAAGAAAUACGAACACCUGUAUAAAUAUAUUCAAAAGUACAUAGUUAUACGUUAUUCGAAUACUGAGUACUUUUGUCGAAAAUGUGUCUCAUGUCGAGAUGUAUGUUUUUUUCUUCUUUUUUCUUUUUUCAAAAAACAUUUUUUUAAAAUGACCAACUGUGGAUAGCGUUUAUCACAGUCGGUCCACUUUUGAAAUUCGGUUUGAGGAUAAGAAAACACACAGCGGGAAGGGAGGGGGGGGGGGGGGGGGGGUAUUAACAUAUCACGACAACGGUGAACGCUCGCGGUGAGUAUUUCCGGCUUGAUACGGUCGCGGCCGAUUGAGUUUCUGGGAUUAAUCAGUUUUGUAAAGCUACUCUGGCGGGGUUCCGAAGCGCCGUUUUCUUGUGCAAUGUGUAAUAAAUAUUAGAAAUGAUCUAAGCCUAUGGAAAGCUAGUUGAGAAAGGAAGAACGAAUUGAAGUAGAAAGGAAGGGGAUAUAGUUGAAGUUUCAAAGAGAGGAGAGACUGGUAUUGAUGAACAACUGCGAUGUUUCCCUUUUUUUUUCUUUCUUUUUUUUUUUUUUCGUUUAUCUGUGGUUAAUUCAUUGAAUUGUAUAGAACGAAGGAAAAUUACCAUUAGAAUUUCAAUGAAAAGGAAAAAAAAUCCCUCCUAGUGUACAUGUUUCUGUCGACGUGAUAAUAUAUAAUUGAUUAACUGAAGAGUUAAGGAUAACGUAUUUUCCGGGCGGUUGUUUUUCUCUUGUUAUUACGACUGAUUAUUCUUUUUUUUUUUUUUUUUUUUUUUUUUUAAAAUCUUGUGCUUUCAUAACGAGAGGCCGCCGUCCGGAACAAGUCAAAUUGUAAUUAUUAAAAUAUUUAUCGAGGUGAACAUGUAUUAAAAGUAGGCUUUAUCGGCGGAAUCAAGGAAAUUCGUUUGUAAAAAAAAAAGAGAGAGAAUAUGAGAGGAUAAAAAAAAAAGUGAGAGAGGGUGAGAGGGAGAGAGAGAAAGAGAGAACGAAGAUAAUGAGAAACGUGAGCGGCUGGAAGGCAUAGUUUUUAUUCUAUAUACUUUUGUAAUCGAUCGAAUUUUCCGAGUAGAGAGCGAAAAUUUGUACAGUUCUAUGCACGAAGAAAAGAGAAGUAUACAAUAAUUGAAUUUAUCUGUCGGUGCGAAUGAAAGGAACAUUUUGUGGCAUGUAAAGAAAAAAAAAAAAAAAACGAGCACACACACGUAACAAACACGUACAUACACGAAACACUUGAUCAUCUCAUAGAUUCUGCCGAAGAAAAUCUUAUAUUCAGUCAGGCUAAUGGAUCAUCAUGGGUUAGCUUCUUCGAUGAUGUCCUAGCGAACACGGAGACGAACUUGAGCGUACGGCGAGAAAAAAAAAAUAAUAACGAGAACAAAGGAGAGUGAAAAGUAAAGGAAAAAUCUCAAAAAGCAAAAUGAAAAUCUUAGGGCGUAUCGUUGCAUGUAAACACACAUAUAUUUAAUUCGAAAUCGUGACGAUGAAUAACGUCUAAGAUUCUUUUCUCAGAGUACAAUGUUAUUCUGGAUCUGAUUUAUAAAAGAGGGGGAUUUUUCGAAGAGAAAUUUGCGUCAGUGCGCCUUGACUUCUGCCGCGUGAAACGACGUGGAAAGAAAAAAAAGAGAGAAAUACUUGAAAAAGUCGCCAUUAACAGUGAAAAAUUUCAUCAAAUAUGAAAGAGGAAGAAAAAGAGAGGAUUGAACGACGAAUAAUUGUUCCUUGAGGGAGUUGAGGACGCAUUGGAGGGAAUUGUCUCAGUUGGAAGUCUCUUAAGGAUGUACCCUAAACGUACAACUUACAAUUAGUGUACGUCCAAAGCCAUAGUGCCUACACAAUAAUGAUCACACCCUUCUGCAAAAGAAACUGUAAAUAAUUUACGUACUAUGCAAAAGUAUAUGAAUAUAUAUACAUAUAUAUAUUAUAUAUAUUAUAUAUAUACAUAUAUAUAUACACAUAGUCAGGCAAAAUGUAAGAACUUGACAACCCCGAUAGACAAAAAGAAAAAAAAGAAAAAAAAAUGGAAAUAAAAGAAAAAGAAAAACCGGAUGCUGCAGACAUCUCAUUGCGAUUAUUACGAAAUAUUGAUUAGUUAGUUUUAAUUAUGAUUAAUAAUUAAUUAUUGAAGCAUUAUACGGCGAGAAAGAUGUUAGUUUAUAAAUUCACUUAUUAUAUAUAUGUACGAUGUAUAUGUAUAUGUAAUAAGUAUAUAGAUAUAUAUUUUAUAGUCAAGCGAAUAUUGUGCAGAAUAAUCGCUGUAUUAUAUUUCACUGGACGAAACAUAGAAAACAUACUUUUCCCGUUUUAAGAAAUCACUUAGAAACAUCAACGAAAUGUUUCUUCUAGCUGUACGUGUAUUUAUUUCAACCAAUAAUCGCUUAAUUCUGGAACAAAAGAAAAAGAAAAUGAUCGAGUGUAACUUUCCCUCUCGUCGUUUUAUCGUCGUAAGAAAAACAAAUAAGAUAAAGAUCCUCGGAUAAUAUUAUUCUGCACAAGGUUCGUAAGCGCGCAAUACUUAUUUGUAACAGAGAAUUGUGUACUAAUUUUAUUUCUCGUUUCUUUUUUUCUUUUUCCUUUCGAGUAAGCUAAUGGCGUCGCGCUUUUUUUCAUAUGCAUCAUGCAACGAGAGGGAAAGCAAAAGGGAAAAAAGAAAAACGGAGAAAAGAAGGAGAAAAUCAGGAAGAAAACAUGAAUUGAGAGAGAGAGAGAAAAGAGAGAGAGAGAGAGAGAGAGAGAGAGAGAGAGAGAGAGAGAGAGAGCGAUAAGAUCGUUUUGUAAAAAAAAGAUUUGUAGUAAAAUUUAGGCAGUGUUUAUUUUAUUCGUAGACAACACGAACGAAUAGUACAAUAAACCAUGAUGGCGAGAAACAUUAAUAAAUAGUAGUACUCCGUGGACGAUGAUACGCACUUUGAGAAAAGAAAUAAUCAGGCAAAUAGGUAUCGAAAUGGUUGCUUAGGGUACGAUGCAAAUACUCUUUCACAUUGUUUUUUUUUUUUUUUUUUUCGGGUUUUUUUUUGGUUUUUUUUUUUUCAUCGCUUAUUUUCGUAUCACGCGUUCCAUGCGGGGCGACACAGUCAUCAGUAGGCGUGUGCUGCAAAAAAAUCGAUCGAUGGAUCAGGCACGAAUAUCAGUAAAAAUAGAACGUUUGCUUCGAGAGUUCUAAUCAAAUGAAGCUGAUCGAAUUCUCGAUCGACGAUCAAACGAGUUCAAAUUCGAUUUUUCGGAGUGCACUCGAUCACCGAGGUUUUUGUCGGUUAUAAAGGAUCUUUGUAAUACAAUAUUUUCAUAGAACUCUCGAGGCGUGAGGCUAUAGGGAUGUAGAACAGGUGUAUAUUACACAUAAAUAGUGAGAAUUAGAAUAUCUUUCAACAGAGGGAGGAAAGGAAUGUCUUUACACUGU